UUGGGUUGGGUUGGUUUUAGUCCCAACCCGUAACCCAACCGGGCAUACAGCGGUUGAUGAUUUCUUGUUGUGCUCUUGUACCCAUCACGCACUACAUAUUGUGUCCAAGAUGAAAGCUGAAGCUGCCCCACAGCUUUCCCUUUCGGCUUUUACCUGUGUGUAACAAAAAAUAUGCUUCAAAGUCUUUUAAGCAUUUAUAUCUGGAUAGUUGUAUUCUUAUGCCACCUUCUCAAUUUUUAGCUGCAUUCAACUAUUUGAUAACCCUUCGACUGGAAGCUACAUGGGUUGGUGAAUAUUUCAUGCUUUCUUUGCUAUCCAAUUCUCCAUUCCUUCAAGUCUUGCGCUUGAAAAGCUGCACAUUGCCAUCUGAUUUGGAGAUUGUUUGGUCCAUCCCUUCACCACCUGGAGGUGAUUGGCUGUCAUUACAAAGGAAAUGUUACGAUUUCUGCCCCAAAACUCACUGUUUUUGAACAUCGCAACUUAUGGGAGUGGGAGAAUAUAUUGAGAAAGAUAUUCUUCCACGCAUGGGAAGAGAAGAUGAUACCUCCUUCAAUUUCACAUUUCACUGGUUUUGCCCAGCUUGAAAAUCUCAACCUGCGCAUGUCUUCUGGAGAAAUGCCAAGAUUGCCAAGAAACAUAGCGCCACUUGGGAAUCUUAAGCAAGUGGAAUUGUCUGUAGAUGAAGGUGAUGCUCUAGGAUGCUCAAAUCUGUAGUGGGUUGUCCUCUUUCUGAAGGCUUCUCCUCUUCUGCAGAAGCUUACAUAUAGGCGUCCAGAAUCACCUCCUGGCUUCUCUGAAAAUGAAAGAAGUGAAAGAUGGCAACCGGAGGAGUUCACCCAUAGUCAAUUUAAAGAAGUUGAAAUAGCUGGAUGUGUAGGUAGGUAAUUGGUUCGAAGUCAAGCUUUCUAUUUACAUGCUGCCAAAUGUGCAAGGUCUUGAACCCCUCCCGGAGAUACUAUAACGGAGGUGGGAGUUGGAUUGAUGAUGAAAAAAUAACCGAUCUUAUGCAACUUGUUAUUGCAUAGAGAAGGGCCGAUAAAUGGUGAAAAGCUUCGAGACAAAGUUCCUGGCAGUGCAAAACUCGUAUUGUUAUGAUGACCUACUUCCACUUCCAUUAGGUUUGUUGGUAGGUCCUAUGGGAUGGGGCAUGCUUAGGUGAAGCACAAGUUGGGUGUUUGAAUUUAGACUACUGCUUAAGUUAGUUUCGUCAGAUUCUCUUAAGGUCAUUUGAAACUUAAUUUUUAUUACAAGACCUGGAUGAACAUGACAAAAGAAACUAGAGAAGUUGCAGAACUAAAGGGGGUCAUAUACUUUUCAAGUGUGUUGAUCACAAAAUCCAUUAAAAACUUAGUACGAGCUCACUUUGGACAAAGAGUGUGCUCCACCACCACAUCACUUAGUUUUCUAAGAUCCUCUAUGUUCACAGCACAUUCAUAGCUAUAUUUAUGUAAAGGCUUGACAUAAUUAGGUUGGUAAGUAAAGUAACUAUUGAUUCACACUCCAUCCUUAGUAUUGAGAGUCGAGACCAUGGGUGCUACCUGACUAUCAAAGAGCAAAUAUGACCUUUGGCAGGGGGUUAUGAUCUGCAAUCGCCUUUUGUCAAAAUUCACACAUUAAUGCAGAGUGUUUGCAAGGAGACAACAAAGCCAAAUUCUGCAGGC